AUCACCAGCAUGAUGAAGUAUUUUGCGGAUGUAAAAGGGUUCAUCGCACAUGCGAGAGCCCCGUUUACCGAGAGCGCAUAAAAAUCGUGUGGAUCUUUCCGCUGCCUUCCUUCUGAUUUGGUGA
rnacentral:snoRNA from 1 species